rnacentral:rRNA from 1 species
UACGAAGGGGGCUAGCGUUGUUCGGAAUUACUGGGCGUAAAGGGCUCGUAGGCGGCCAACUAAGUCAGACGUGAAAUCCCUCGGCUUAACCGGGGAACUGCGUCUGAUACUGGAUGGCUUGAGAUUGGGAGAGGGAUGCGGAAUUCCAGGUGUAGCGGUGAAAUGCGUAGAUAUCUGGAGGAACACCGGUGGCGAAGGCGGCGUCCUGGACCAAUACUGACACUGAAACGCGAAAGCCAGGGGAGCAAACGGG